CGUAGGGCGCAAGCGUUGUCCGGAAUUAUUGGGCGUAAAGAGCUCGUAGGCGGCUUGUCGCGUCGGAUGUGAAAGCCCGGGGCUUAACCCCGGGUCUGCAUUCGAUACGGGCAGGCUAGAGUUCGGUAGGGGAGAUCGGAAUUCCUGGUGUAGCGGUGAAAUGCGCAGAUAUCAGGAGGAACACCGGUGGCGAAGGCGGAUCUCUGGGCCGAUACUGACGCUGAGGAGCGAAAGCGUGGGGAGCGAACAGGAUUAGAUGCCCUGGUAGUCCACGCCGUAAACGUUGGGAACUAGGUGUGGGCGACAUUCCACGUUGUCCGUGCCGCAGCUAACGCAUUAAGUUCCCCGCCUGGGGAGUACGGCCGCAAGGCUA
rnacentral:rRNA from 1 species